CACGUAGGGCGCAAGCGUUGUCCGGAAUUAUUGGGCGUAAAGAGCUCGUAGGCGGUCUGUUGCGUCCGCUGUGAAAACUCGGGGCUUAACCCCGAGCCUGCAGUGGAUACGGGCAGACUAGAGGUAGGUAGGGGAGAAUGGAAUUCCCGGUGUAGCGGUGAAAUGCGUAGAUAUCGGGAAGAACACCAAAGGCGAAAGCACUUUGCUGGGCCGAAAACUGACACUGAUAGACGAAAGCUAGGGGAGCAAAUGGG
rnacentral:rRNA from 1 species